UUUUUUUUUACUUUUUUUUU
rnacentral:sRNA from 1 species